rnacentral:lncRNA from 1 species
ACAGUUAGCAGUGGCGCUACGGAGGCCGGGUGGCCCGAAGAGGGUAAGUUCGCGUUUUCUUGCUAAGUGACUGUGCCUCGCACUUUUGUUUCCUUGGGAUGCUUCUUUAGUUUACUUUGCAGAAAAUGCAUUUGGGCCUUCGGCGUGCAAGCUCCUCACUGGGGCUUGUAUCCCCAUCUCCCCAAACUUCGCCAGCCUUUGUCUCGACCUAGCGGCCCCCAGCGGCAGCUCUGCCGCGGGGCUCUCACUUGGGGUUCGCUCAGCCCCGUUGCUUUCCGCCGCUGACUGAGCGCAGGCAAACCAACGUCCCUCUUUCUGGAACACUUAGUAUGAGAACCGCCUUUCUCUCCAACACCCCGACCUGUGCAUCUUCUCAGCCCCAUGGGCAGAUGUCUCCCACUGCGCUCAUCACCCCUCUGCUGUUUACCCAGCAAAACCAUUAGGUCAGACAGCCGCCGAAAAAACCAAGUUUGUUCAGAAUAGAGGGACCAGGACAGGAGGGCCUUUAAAGGAGGGACUGAAGGAAUAAAGACGUGCAUCUUGCAGGCACAGACCCCUGGGAAAUACGCUAAAGCUUUCUUCAGUUCUCUAAAUGUUCCACAAACAAGGACCAAUAAAUAUUAAAUAGCACUGAGAGCAGAUUCGGAGGUUAAGCAUCAAUGAAUUUACACAAGUCUUGUCCUUGCAUAAGUUUAAUUUUAAUAUGACUUCUCCGUAACCUGAUGGCCCUAUUUCGUGAAUGGAAAUCACAGUAAUUCAAGGAGGGUAAGAAUAUAAUAUGAUUUUUGCCAUUGCUUGAAGCAUAGUAAGAAUUUUAUAAAAGUUAGGUCAUUUCUUUUUCAAAAUAAUGGUUUGGUUUUAUUAAUUCUUUGAGGGUAUUUUACUCUGUAUUUGGGUCAUAUUCAUCCCCUACUCCAGGCUCCUCCCAAAACUACCCCCCCCCCCACAUUAUUAUUAUCCAGAGUCCAGGCUGAAGGCGAACUAACUCAUUGAUGUGUUAGUCUGUGAGUGUGAUCGGUGUGAUCAAUUGCACCAUUAAAGAAAACUGACUUUCCUUCUUCCAGAAGCUGUAAGAAGCCAAUAGCUCUCUCGUGCCCACCUUUCCACCUCCAUAAGCUAGAGCUUAUUUCUGAUGGCCUCUGUGGGUCUAACUAUCCCCACAUUGUGGAUUGGAACCGAAAACUGGAAGAGCUAUCAGUCAAUCAGCACGUAUUCCUUGACUCUCACUGAGCCAUACACCUUUUUAGUUUGCUGGGGACAUUCCAAACUAAGUCAGGCACAAUCACUUUUGUUAUUGACUGCAGCCUCUACUGAAGGACUCAGAAAAUAAAUGUAAAAUAAAGGAAUUUCAACUAACAGUGUCUGCUAUGAAACUAGCUGAUGAUGGCAUGAAGUCAUUGAGAGUGACAAUGAGGAGGGUAAAAGAAGGUCUAAAGAGGUAAAAGAAGGUCUUCCUGGGGGUGACAUUUGAGCCUACUCCCAAACUGUGAAAGAGCUACCCACGAGACAAAAAUCUCACAUCGUACACAAGUCCAGAGACAGAAAUAAGUUGGAUAGGAUUGAAUAUCAACAAAG